UACGUAGGGCGCAAGCGUUGUCCGGAAUUAUUGGGCGUAAAGAGCUCGUAGGCGGUUUGUCGCGUCUGCCGUGAAAACUCGAGGCUCAACCUCGAGACGUCGGUUGAAACCGUCUGGCUAGAGUCCGGAAGAGGAGAGUGGAAUUCCCGGUGUAGCGGUGAAAUGCGCAGAUAUCGGGAAGAACACCCGUGGCGAAGGCGGCUCUCUGGGACGGUACUGACGCUGAGACGCGAAAGCGUGGGGAGCGAACAGG
rnacentral:rRNA from 1 species